GCCCCCGUCUCACGAACCCGUCCCCUCACAUCCCUCGCGUUGCCAUUGCUUGGUCCUCUCCGCGCCCGCCGCCCCUGCUCGGCUGCUCCCCAUGUCCCGCGCCGCGGUGACAAGGAUCCGAGAACACCCCUGCGGACGCAUCCGGGAUUCAAGGCCUCCCCUCCCUUCCCCUGCCCCCACCCCCUCGGUGAUGCCCGGAUCCACGACUGCUACCGUCCAGCCUCGUUCUCCGUCCGCGACCGCUUCACGGUGGCGCAGACGCUGGAGGUGUCCACAGGGGGCGACACCGUGACCCUGCCUCCGUUCGACAUCAGCGCCCCUCCCCCCACCACCGUCGAUUUGUAGAAGCUCCUCGCCCGUUCUUGCUUCACCAGCGAUUCGGGGAGGCCAUGCCCCCCUCGGCCGCACCCCUUCUCCUCCUCGCCGCAUCCCGCCUCUGGGCAGCCGCGCCACCCCUCCCUCCACCUCGCCGUCUCCUACCUCCUCCCCCUCGACCGCAUCUGCCUCCCUCUGUGGCCUCGCUACCAAGGUCAAGAUCGUCGAGAUUUGUUAGGGUUUGGGGUUUUUGCGGUUGACUCUGAAUCCCGCCGCCGCUGCUCGCGCAGGAGGCCUCGAGCUCCCAGUGCUCCCCUCCUCAACCACCCUGGGUAAGUGGCUCCCAGAUUGAUAGGGAAAGAGUUCGGACUGUAGGGGCUAUUGAAUACUUGAUUGAUGCCACAAGAUCUGGAAAUGUGUCCCGCUAUAUCAAUCACAGAAGUUGUUCCCCAAAUCUCAGCACCCGAUUGGUUUUGGUAGAGAGCAAAGAUUGCCAGCUUGCUCACAUUAGCUUGUUUGCUAAUCAAAACAUUGCCGUAGGAGAAGAACUCGCCUAUGAUUACCGACAAAAGCUUGUAGCAGGCGAUGGCUGCUUCUGCCAUUGUGGGGGUACCAAUUGCCGAGGCCGUGUCUAUUGACUUCGCAGGAAGACACUAAACUGUUCAACGCUUGGUUGCAGAACUCGAGGUUUCUACAGCUGUGUAGGCUGCUGAGCGAUUUAGGCCUUAGUGUAGGCGUACAAUCUACGUCGACGCCAAAAUUAAAUCACCUUCCUACAUCCAUAGUUGAUAUGAACUGUCAUAGGAUAUCGGUUGUUGAAGUACGUCGUCAAGUGUACAUGGAAGCAUUAGUGCAUUGAACGGCCGAAGAAUCACCGCAGGUACAUGGCUGAUGUGUUCAUCUUCUAGAGGAUAUCUUGCACCAGAGUACACCAUUCAAGGGCAGCUGAACAAAAAGAGCGACGUCUACAGCUUUGGUGUGCUGCUGUUGGAGAUUGUCAGUGGCAGAUGCCACACUGAUCCUAGAUUACCCGUUGACGAGCAGUUCCUCCUAGAAAAGGUCUGGACACUCUAUGAGUUCGAUGAUCUCGAGAGCAUCAUUGAUAGGACACUAAAGCGCGAUUUUGACACCGAGGAAGCACUCUGGUUGCUUAAGGUUGUUGAUUCAAUCGUGAGGGUCCUCAAUUAAGGUCGAAUGGAUGCAAUCAAAACUAGAAGGGUGUGCGCCAUCGAGGAUCACUGCAGCUAAGGCAAUCGUGAAGGCUGGAAUCGUUGUUAUGGCACCGCAAGCUAUUAGUGUGCUAGGUGGAUUUAGGCCUCAAGGGAAAACGAUUGACAAUGUUGUAAAGGUUGUGGAGACAACACUUGCCAUGCAGGAGGCUGGAUGCUUCUCUGUUGUGUAUUAGUUGUUGGCAGAUGAUUUAUAAGAUAUUGAGAUCAAAAUCAGGAUGUUUCCAAACUGUCUAUAAUCAGGAUGGCUAUUGUAGCUUUUACAGUAGGUCUUCUUCCAUGGGCGGUGCCCUGGAGCGCCUGAUUGUCUCACGUAUUUGACCAGCAACAAGGGACGAAGAUUGGAGCUGUGUGGAUUGUGUGGAGGCGACACGGGUCAGGAGCAUUUCAUCUGAUCCCUUUUCUCUGAUGGAUAUGCUGAUAUUCAAGGCUGUGGAAGAGCAGGUCAAGAAGAGAGUAGAGAAUAAGGCAAUGAUCUUCGAGCAGAAUGCCACUGAUAGUGAGUGCAAGGUCGAUCCUAAAGUGCUCUCCAAGCUAUAUGAUCAUUGGGUGGAUGCCACACACCAAGGAUGUCUGCCUUGACUAAUCACCGAUUAGCUGUAGCUGUAAAUUUUAUGUAUACAUGGUUUCAGUUGCGCUCGAUCCAAUUGUCUUAACCUUGAAUGGACAUUUUGAUGUUUCUUUCAUGAAUGUUCAGGUCAACGGCAAGAUAAACC